rnacentral:rRNA from 1 species
UACGUAGGGGGCAAGCGUUGUCCGGAUUUAUUGGGCGUAAAGAGCGUGUAGGCGGCCAGACAGGUCCACUGUGAAAACUCGAGGCUCAACCUCGAGAGGUCGGUGGAAACCGUCUGGCUAGAGUCCGGAAGAGGAGAGUGGAAUUCCCGGUGUAGCGGUGAAAUGCGCAGAUAUCAGGAAGAACACCCGUGGCGAAAGCGGCUCUCUGGAACGGUACUGACGCUGAGACGCGAAAGCGUGGGGAGCGAACAGG